GGAUUGUUGGCCGCUCUUUGCCUUCUUUAAUGAGUGGCUGCGUAGACAAGGUUAUAAACCAAAUGAUGCUUCAUUCUUCAGAGAAACAGCAUGGAAGCGGAAGAGUUUGAAAAAGAACAAGGUGCUACAAACAAGUCAGGAAUUUGUUCUGCAGGCCUGUCAAGUCUAUAAAUAUCUAGAAUCCUGCUUACCAAGUAUUGGUGUGAGGGUUGAUGAUGAAACCGAUGCUCACAGAGUUGAAAUAAGCUGCUGAAGGUCAUGCAGUGCACACACAUCUAGAAAUGAAUACUUCAUGCAGUAAUUUCUCUGAAAGUUGAGUCUGAAAGUAUGGCUUUGCCCACUCUCAAUGACAAAGACAAAGAGGGAGUCACUGGGAAAGCGUGUAUGGGUCUUUAAGCAAGACUCUGACCCCAACCCAUGGGAUUGUUGGUCGGCAUAGAGACAAUGGGAAGGAGGAAAUAACCUGAGAGAGUGCACACCAAUCAUUUCAACGGCAAAAUCCAAAAGUGGCACACAUCGUUUCAGAUCCCAUCCCAUUGGUUGGGACAUAGUCACUGGUUUCACCUAGCUGCAAGAAAGGAUGGAAAAUGAAGUCGUUACCUGGACAGCUGAGCCAUGUGCUCAGCUAAAACUGAGAAAAGGGAUUUGGGGGCACAGUUAGCAAUCUGCCACAGCUUCCAACGAAGGUCUUGGAAUCCAGAAGGUUGGCAAUCCAGAAGAGCAUUGUACAGCUGCCCCUUCAUUCUAUAAUUCCUGUCUCACUCAACUUUGAGCCUUUGAGAUGUAAGCAUUGGAAACGUUAGAGUCAGAUAGUGAAAGCUUUGCUAAUUUGACAAGGAAUGAAGUUUCAUUAAACUUCUAAAUGUGGCAUUUUUAUAGGUUAUGGCCAAACUGAAGUUGGCCAAGCGUGAAUGUCAUUAGCUGCAGUUUUGUUUGUACUCCAUAGUAUGUUGUUCCUCUCUCUCUCUCUUCCUCCCUCUCCUUCUCUACAUUUUCUUUCUGUUUUUGGGACUCUCCUUUUUGCAUCGAUAGGUACUCAAGAAAAAAAUUCAGGGUUUCAGUUGGAAAAAACAAGUUUUAAAGUAGAAUUUUCAACAAGACGCCUAAUGAACAGUGGUCUAUUCGCACAGCUGAACACCCUAUUCACAAAUCUCUUUCUCUUAUAGAUUUGUGAGGAACAGGAGGUUAUAUUCUCUGCAUGGGAUUUUGCUUCUGGGCUAGGGUUGACUGCAAGUUUAUUGGAAUGAGCACUACAUUUUGUUUUGUUUUCACCAUAAGGGACUUCUGCAAGGAGCCGCAGUGCUCAUCACGUGCUGUGAGGAAAAUGGAGAGAGUUUGCAGAACAGUUCUCUCCCUUCAUUCAAAAUUAGGUUCAAGCUGAGAACCGCUGGUGAUUUUUCAAGUCCUGUUUUGGAUGAAAUAAGCAGACAUGUUUGAAUUAAUUAAUGUUGUAAGGCGACUCUUAGCACUGAGACUGAGCUAGUGCCUGAUAGAAGGAGCGCUGAGCCAGGAAUCACAAAACCCCUGUCCUAGCUUUGGCAUCGCCACCAACUCCUUGUAGGACUAUGAACAAAUCGCCAACAUUUCUGUGCCUUCGUUCCCCACUUACAUAAAUACAGAGAUAUUUGCACUUCUAGAAGAAGAAUGGUUGUGUCGAUACUCUGGUGUGACUUUGUUAUGAUAACACAGGAAGACUGAGGUGCAGUGGGCCCUUGCGAAUCAUCCUCCCCUCCAUGAACCAGGUGGAAUAGACCAUUCCCUUCUCAGAGACCCCUGGACCCUACAUCCUAGUACCCUAUACUAUAAGUCCUGCAAUAUUUGGUGGCUUAUAUUUUAUUUAUGGGUCUGCUUUCCCAUGGGCUUCUUAAAGAGUGUGCAUUUCUCAUUUGAUCGCUACAGUGCCUACUACUGUGGUUGGCACUUGAUAUUGGAUAAAUGAAUGAAAUAAAGCACACCCAAAGUUAGAUGGCUGGUCAGGGGCUGGUUAGUGGCUGGUUAGGGCUGGGUCAAGUCUGGUUACUCCCAGACCAGUCUUUUGCAUAUUUGACCUCUCCCUACUCUCAAGAAUAAGGGUGAAAUAGGAUAUCAAACGUAAGAAGUGCUCACGUUCUGGAGAUUCCGGUGCAGGAGAGGAGUGGUUUCCUCUGCUCAGGCUUGUUCUGCUAUUUCAGCCUCUUGGUCCUUAAUGAUGGUUUAUUCUCAUAGCACACUUCUCUCUCUCGUUUACCUCAAGAAUCUCUGCUUGGGAUAGAGGUGAGCAGAGGUUGGGCAGAGGUGCCUCAAGCCAAACCAAGGA
ensembl:lncRNA